UUCUGGUCCAGGCUGUAGCUGAUGGUGAAGAUGACAGUGAACAUCUCUCUCAGACCCAGAGACGUUUUUGCUCCCUGCGUCUGGAUCCCGUGCACCACCAUCGGCCGCAGCAAAUCCACCUACCGCAUACAAGCACGUCACUGCAGAUUUGCCGGCUCCUCUGUUGGCAACCUGCUUUUCUCUUCAAACCAUGAUGCCAGGCUCAAUUGGGCCCAGCAUACUCUGGCAUCCCCUAAGCUGCCAAGAACUCUGUUCACAUGGCGCCAGCGUUAGGAACCCUAGCAUUCCUGACUUACCGUGCUGAUGUGAGUGGAUUCUGCAGGAUAUCAGGAACUUGCCCACGGCGUAAGGCUUCAUCACGGCGGUGGUGAAGGUCAUGGGCGUGAUCUCCACGAUGACCUGUCUGUGGUUCAUGACCUUGACGGUGUGAUCCUGGAACUGAAUGGUGUGGAUCUCCGGAGUCGAACCCAGACCGAUCAGGUGCCAGGAAACCUCGGGCGUGGUCAGACAGAGUUUCAGACCUGUAAGGAGAGAGAGACGGUGCGUUAUGAGGAGCGACGGUAAGACGCCUGUAAUCUUGAUGUUUGCUUUGGAUGAAACUGGACCAUUGUGUGGUCAGGCUGUGAGGAAGCAGGUCAGUCGACCCAGACCUGGCAGGGUGGAGUUGGCGUAUCCGUUUAUGGUGUGAAACUGCUGCUGCUCCGGUGAUUUUCGGGGUUUGUCGGCUCUGCCCACCUCCUUGUACCAGCUCCUGCUUUCAUCGAACACGGCAAACAGCAGCACAAACUCGGGCACCUUCCGCCCGCGCUCCUCCGUCAGAGCUCCUGCACGGCAGAGGAAGAGUUAGAGCUUUAAAUUCAGACAUAAACAACCUGAAAUAUCACUGUACAGACAAAAGUAUUGGGACGCCCCUUCUGAUAACUGAAAUGCUGUCCUCAACUCAAUGGGCACAAAUUCCCACAGACAUUAAAGUCUUUAAACUCGUUUGUAAGAUGCUUCUCAGAAGAGCUCUUCCAACAAGCUCAUGGUCAGGCGUCCAAAUACUUUUGGUCAGGUAGUUUUCAUCAAAUCAUAAAAUACCCAGCAGUGCUAUCAGCCGCUCUGCAUCUACAUACAGACAUAACUGGCUAUGUCUAAGUGGGAGAGGGAUCGAGACCCAGUGAUGGAUUGGUGUCCUGUUUGCUAAAUGUAUUAUACAGUAUAAUAUAAUGGUGUAUAUUUAAUUUCUUUUUUAUAUUUUUAUAUUAUAUAUGAUAGUGUUA